rnacentral:misc_RNA from 1 species
GAUGAAGAACGCAGCGAAAUGUGAUACGUAGUGUGAAUUGCAGAAUUCAGUGAAUCAUCGAAUCUUUGAACGCACAUUGCACCUCUCGGUAUUCCGGGAGGUAUGCCUGUUCGAGCGUCAUUUGUACCCUCAAGCUCUGCUUGGUGUUGGGUGUUUGUUCCGCCUCUGUGUGUGAACUCGCCUCAAAACAAUUGGCAGCCGGCGUACUUGUUUCGGAGCGCAGCACAUUUUGCGAUCCAGAUCAACGUACAGCGGCAUCCAAGAAGCCUUAUUUAACGCUCUUGACCUCGGACCAGGUAGGGAUACCCGCUGAACUUAAGCAUAUCAAUAAGCGGAGGA